UACGAAGGGGGCUAGCGUUGUUCGGAAUUACUGGGCGUAAAGCGCACGUAGGCGGAUUUGUAAGUCAGGGGUGAAAUCCCGGGGCUCAACCUCGGAACUGCCUUUGAUACUGCAAGUCUCGAGUCCGAUAGAGGUGAGUGGAAUUCCUAGUGUAGAGGUGAAAUUCGUAGAUAUUAGGAAGAACACCCGUGGCGAAGGCGGCCCACUGGGCCGGAACUGACGCUGAGGCGCGAAGGCGUGGGGAGCGAACGGG
rnacentral:rRNA from 1 species